UACGGAGGGUGCAAGCGUUGUUCGGAAUUAUUGGGCGUAAAGCGCGUGUAGGCGGUAGGGUAAGUCAGAUGUGAAAGCCCUGGGCUCAACCCAGGAAGUGCAUUUGAAACUGCUCUGCUAGAGUGGGGGAGAGGAAAGUGGAAUUCCUGGUGUAGAGGUGAAAUUCGUAGAUAUCAGGAGGAACACCGGUGGCGAAGGCGGCUUUCUGGCCCUUCACUGACGCUGAGACGCGAGAGCGUGGGGAGCAAACAGGAUUAGAUACCCUGGUAGUCCACGCUGUAAACGAUGUUCACUAGGUGUUGGAGGUAUUGACCCCUUCAGUGCCGUAGCAAACGCAUUAAGUGAACCGCCUGGGGAGUACGGUCGCAAGAUUAAA
rnacentral:rRNA from 1 species